UACAGAGGUCUCAAGCGUUGUUCGGAUUCAUUGGCGUAAAGGGUGCGUAGGUGGCGCCGUAAGUCAGGUGUGAAAUUUCGGAGCUUAACUCCGAAACUGCAUUUGAUACUGCGGUGCUUGAGGACUGGAGAGGAGACUGGAAUUCAUGGUGUAGCAGUGAAAUGCGUAGAGAUCAUGAGGAAGACCAGUGGCGAAGGCGGGUCUCUGGACAGUUCCUGACACUGAGGCACGAAGGCCAGGGGAGCAAACGGG
rnacentral:rRNA from 1 species